UAUGCCAUUAUUUACAAAAAAAGUCAGUUCGAUGACUGGGCACUCUCGGCACACUGAGAAAAAUGUUGCUACAAAAUAAAUGUGUAGAGUGACUACCCUUGGAUUGAAAUAUAAGACAAACAAAUAAAAAGGAAGAGUCUCAACCGAUGGUCUCGUGUUUCCUAAGCUGGAUCAAAAUGCAGCACCAUUUCUUCAAUCCAAAUAGCCAUGGUGAGGUUUUUCCCUGCUACAUCACGCUUGCUAGUCCCAUCCCAUUGCUAUCGGAGUGGUGUCAUCAAUGGAAUUCUUUCAAUCAUCAGAAACAAUCAAAUAUGUUUUGCUUUUUGGUAGUCUUUAUUCAUUUUCAUUCAAACCUUAAAGCUAGAGUGCACAACAUUGUGCUCGUUCAUUACCUUUUGUUUCUCGUAAACUAGGAUAAACUAUAGAAUUUCUUCGAAAUUUCAGUGGUUAGAUUUUGGUUUUAAGACGCAAACUAGGAUAAACUAUAGAAUUUCUUCGAAAUUCCAGUGGUUGGAUUUUUCUUUUAAGACGCAAACUAGGAUAAACUAUAGAAUUUCUUCGAAAUUCCAGUGGUUAGAUUUUUCUUUUGAGACGCAAACUAGGAUAAACUAUAGAAUUUCUUCGAAAUUACAGUGGUUACCUUUUUUUUAAGACGCAACUAGGAUAAACUAUAGAACUUCUUCAAAAUUUCAGUUAUUAGAUUUUUUUGUUAAGACGCAAACUACGGAAGCAUCCCAAGGAGGUCAAAUCGGAGGAAAAUAUAUGAAGGGAAAGUGGGUUUCUGUAUAGAGGAAACUGCAGCCAGCUGUUGUAAGGUGCGAGCGUACGGUUAUGAUAUUGAAGUAGAAUGAAAUAAAUCAGGGAAAACAUGUCAGAAGGGUAUAACUCGAAACGUAAACAAUGACUUUGAACGUCGAUUUCUCUUGAAUGACCGCACAACCCACAGAAUCUGACUACACCAGCUCAUAGAACAAACAUUUCUCUGUCAGAUGAUUUAGUUAGUUUGAAUGGGUGUAUUGUCAUUCGUAAGAAACCGACGAUCCAAGUCACCGUUUACGCUUCGACUUAGACCCUUCUGACAUGUUUCCCCUGAAAUAUGCCAUGUGGGAUAUAUGGAUUUGGGAUUUUCGAUCUUUUCCGUGGUUGAGAAUGGUUGUUUUUCGCAAAAAACGAAUUUCUAAAACAUAUCCGAAAUUACAGAGCGUUGGGUAUCGUUGGCUCUACGCAAACUAGGAUAAACUAUAGAAUUUCUUCGAAAUUUCAGUGGUUUUAUGUUCGACGCAGCUGAAUGUGAUAUCGAUAGAAAGUUUCGUUGAUCUCGUCUGCUCAGAGAGGGCUUUCCACCGUGUGAACAGCUGCGACAGCCACCUGGUUUCCCAACCACACCCCCCUCCGAGCAGACUUGGCAAAAAACGAAUUUCUAAAACAUAUCCGAAAUUACAGUGUAUUGGACGGAGGGGACAUUACCGGUCCAGAGACCGGUCGCAGAUGUAGAAGUUAUUGAAAUUAUUGAAAUUACAGAGGUUUGUAUAUGUGGCAAAAUGUUGCCAUCUGCUAUAACCGUUAGGGAUAUUCUCUCUUGCACCCCCCUUAGAGAUCCAUAUGCGCAUAGACGCAAGUUUUAGGAUUAGGGAGAUAAGGUCUAGAAAAAGAGAGUGAGAAUAACUGUUAAACCCCGUACAGACUAUGGCUUAUAUCAUGUAAUAUAGGCUGUCUUGCAAUGAGCACUCAUACAUCUAGUUUUCACUGGAAAUCCUAUGUAUGAGUGCUCAUUGCAAGGCAGCCUAUAUUAUAUGAUACUUCAACAAUAUCACACGUCACAAUUUUGGCAAAAAAAAAAUUCAAGAAUUUUGUUUCGCCUUUUUAAGUUAGGUCCAAAUUCUCCUACCGCUGGAAAAAACGAAUUUCUAAAACAUAUCCGAAAUUAGAGUGGUUUGGUAUGAUGUUGUAAAUAUUCUAAAACGACCUAGUUUUGAAGACAUCCACAGGAUUCAUUUUAACGACUUAGACUGGAUAAAGACGGUAUUCCCCGGUGGGGAAUUCCAGCCAUGGCAUGCGGCGAUAUUUGACACCGAGAGCCAUAACCCCCUCUUUCGAGGGGUGCAAAAAACGAAUUUCUAAAACAUAUCCGAAAUUAAAGUGGUUUGGUAAGACUUGUUUUUCGCAAAUAUUCUAAAACGACCUAGUUUUGAAGACAUCCACAGGAUUCACUUUUAACUUUAACGCGGCUUAGACAUAAGACUUUCGCAAAUAUUCUAAAACGACCUAGUUUUGAAGACAUCCACAAGACUCUUUUGUUUGAACUACUAACUAAGACUGGAGACUUUGCCCCUCUUUCGAGGGGCGGCAAAAAACGAAUUUCUAAAACAUAUCCGAAAUUAGAGUGGUUUGGUAAGACUUUGUUUUUUCACAAAUAUUCUAAAACGACCUAGUUUUGAAGACAUCCACAGGAUUCACUUUUAACUUUAACGCGGCUUAGACAUAAGACUUUCGCAAAUAUUCUAAAACGACCUAGUUUUGAAGACAUCCACAAGGCUCUUUUGUUUGAACUACUAAGACUGAGACUUAACCCCUCUUUCGAGGGGUGGGCAAAAAACGAAUUUCUAAAACAUAUCCGAAAUUAGAGUGGUUUGGUAAGACUUGUUUUUCGCAAAUAUUCUAAAACGACCUAGUUUUGAAGACAUCCACAAGA